rnacentral:rRNA from 1 species
UGGGGGAUAUUGCACAAUGGGGGAAACCCUGAUGCAGCAACGCCGCGUGAGUGAAGAAGGUCUUCGGAUUGUAAAGCUCUGUUCUUGGUGAAGAUAAUGACGGUAGCCAAGGAGAAAGCUCCGGCUAACUACGUGCCAGCAGCCGCGGUAAUACGUAGGGAGCGAGCGUUGUCCGGAUUUACUGGGUGUAAAGGGUGCGCAGGCGGCUCUGCAAGUCAGGCGUGAAAGCUAGGGGCUCAACCCCUAAACUGCGCUUGAAACUGUGGAGCUUGAGUGAAGUAGAGGCAGGCGGAAUUCCCGGUGUAGCGGUGAAAUGCGUAGAGAUCGGGAGGAACACCAGUGGCGAAGGCGGCCUGCUGGGCUUUAACUGACGCUCAGGCACGAAAGCAUGGGUAGCAAACA